AUGAUCCACUCCUCCCACUCCUUUACUGAAUUCAAAUAAGCCUUGCUCAAUUGGGGUUGUUGUUGUGAUUGUAGCAUCUUGAUCUUGUUGAUAAAGAGGAUUUCCUCCUCCAUAUUGAAGUGGGUAUUGAAUCCCACUAGUUUCAACAAGACUUGCAAGUUCUUCUUGCCAAGAUAAUGAUGUUGUUGAUAAUUUUCCAUUUCCAACACCAACACCAUCGUCGUCCAUUACUGCCGCAGACAUGAUUGAUUGAUUGAAGAAUCCAACAGAAUUUCAGAAGAUCAAAUGCAGUUUGCAAAGUAGCACUAC
rnacentral:lncRNA from 1 species